UACGAAGGGUGCAAGCGUUACUCGGAAUUACUGGGCGUAAAGCGUGCGUAGGUGGUUUGUUAAGUCUGUUGUGAAAUCCCCGGGCUUAACCUGGGAACUGCAUUGGUGACUGGCGGGCUUGAGUGUGGCAGAGGGGGGUGGAAUUCCGCGUGUAGCAGUGAAAUGCGUAGAGAUGCGGAGGAUACACCGAUGGCGAAGGCAGCCCCCUGGGCUAACACUGACGCUGAGGCACGAAAGCGUGGGGAGCAAACAGG
rnacentral:rRNA from 1 species